GCCAAUGGUUUCACUGGCCUAACUGCCUCUCAUCUCAUCAGUUCUGAGAAAAUAAGCAGUUCUAGGCCUGGCUAAAAUGUGGAGGGGGAUCAUCUGGGAAUUCAGGAAGCUAAAGGCA
ensembl:rRNA 5S_rRNA 5S ribosomal RNA